AAAGGUCCUUUAUAUCUGCUUUUAAUGCCUUUACCUUCCUCUCUGUUUUUUCUCUCCUGUUAAUUUUUCGUUCCUUCUCUAUCUUUAAAUCUAAGAAAAAAAAUUCCAUCUUCUCUUUCAAGAAAAAAAAUAAAAUGUCAUCAUCCAAUUUAAAUCAUCAAGCAAAUAAUGGACUCCCAAUUUGUCUUGCAGGGAUCACACGUCCUCUUCCUCUAUCCAAAGAGAUGACGGAUCACAUUGGAAGAAGGGAGGCUAUGAAAAAGCUAAGAGUUCAAAUGGGAGGAAAAUGGAAAACAGAUGAAGUGAGAAGCAAUGAAAGAGAGUUUAGGGAGAAAAUAAAUGAAACUGAUUUAGAUCUUAUUGUUGCUCUUCUUUGUGGUCUUUGUUUGUCUUGUACAGCAAAGGCUGCUUGAUUCUAACUUGGAAAAAAAAGAGUACUUAAUUUGGUUUUUCUUUUAGUUUUUGUUUAUGUACUUUUGGGGACUGUGAUAAAUUUAGCUUAGAUUUGUGUAACAACCUUCUACUGAGGUUAAGUUUUCUUCCUAUUGACAUUCAAUUAAAUUUGGAUUCACGUA